rnacentral:rRNA from 1 species
ACGAACGCUGGCGGCGUGCCUAAUACAUGCAAGUCGAGCGGACUUUCCAGAAGCUUGCUUUUUGAAAGUUAGCGGCGGACGGGUGAGUAACACGUGGGCAACCUGCCUGCAAGACGGGGAUAACUCCGGGAAACCGGGGCUAAUACCGGAUAAUAUCUUCCUUCGCAUGAAGGAAGGUUGAAAGGCGGCGCAAGCUGCCGCUUGCAGAUGGGCCCGCGGCGCAUUAGCUAGUUGGUGAGGUAACGGCUCACCAAGGCGACGAUGCGUAGCCGACCUGAGAGGGUGAUCGGCCACACUGGGACUGAGACACGGCCCAGACUCCUACGGGAGGCAGCAGUAGGGAAUCUUCCGCAAUGGACGAAAGUCUGACGGAGCAACGCCGCGUGAGCGAAGAAGGUCUUCGGAUCGUAAAGCUCUGUUGUCAGGGAAGAACAAGUACCGUUCGAACAGGGCGGUACCUUGACGGUACCUGACCAGAAAGCCACGGCUAACUACGUG